GGGAUAGUGGCUCAGUGGUAGAGUGCUUGCCUUGCAUGCAUGAGGCCCUGGGUUCGAUUCCUCAGUACCA
rnacentral:tRNA from 1 species